UACUGUAAUGAGAAAGCGGUCACAGACGAUGUGCAAACAAAGACGUGUGGCAGCGUCACAAUUAAAAUGCAUUUAUACAAUCAGAUGUGGGCCAGAAUUAGCCUUUGGGUCACUGCUUGGAGUCCUCUGCCUUAGAUCCUGGAGGCUGUGAGGCUGUGACCCCUGUCUUGGAACUGAGUCUCUCCUUUAUCCUUCCGGGUUGAAGGAAACUCCUAUCUCAGGCAACCAGCGGCAAGUAAAAACUUCAUGACAUCCACACAAACUCUGUUCCAAGAGAACCACUCAUUUGCAUCAACAUGAAAAACAGUUUUGGCUUUCUCUUGUCCUGAUUUCCAUUCUGGAUCAGCUUUACCUUGGAAAAACCAAUUUAAGCAUCUCUGCUGCUGUUGAUUUCCUCAUUUGUUUUCUCCCAGUGAAGAAUUCUUAAGCAACCUGAAGACCUCGAAGAAACAAUGAAAUUAGAGCUGUUUUUGUUGUCCUGCUGAUUCUGUAGCUGUAGACGGAGUUCUCAGGCACAGUUCAAGUUUCUGAAAGAUGAAAAGCUCUAUGACCAAUUGAAGAAGCUAGUGGGUCUACCCUUAUGCCUCUUUUCUGUACUUCGAAGUUCAGAAGAUGUAGGACAUCUUGUUGGAGAAACAAAUAAAGUACUGUGCCAAAGAUGGCUGUCGGGAUUAAAACAAGCUCUGGUCUCUAGCUUAGAGACCCCUCUUCUGGGUUCUUCCUGCCCUGUUUGCCUCUUGCGUGAAAACCCCCACAGAUGUGGAAGCUGACAACUAUAGUUGUCCUCCCCACUUGCGUUCAGCAUUCAAAUCUUUGGAGAAAUGGUCUCCUCUGACCCACUGGUGUUAAAUAAAUCUCUGAUCCAUCAA